UAUGUGUGUGUGUGUAUAUAUAUAUAUGUGUGUGUUGAUUGUGCCAUUGGUAUUAAAUUUAAUUUCGAGUGGUAUUAAAAAUGUCUUAAAGUCUUAAAUUUAACUUGAGCUGUAGAAACACUGUACUAGUACGGUAGUAGUGGCAUGAAAAGUAAACAUAUGUCCAUAAUACCUUAGGUUGUUUCUUAUGCAGGUUCUCUUUGGCUAUGGUUCGAGAUUUCCAAACCGCUUGACAGCAUUUGGAGAUUGUUCGACGUCGUUGAGAUUCGUCGUAGAGUAUCAGCAUUAUCCCAUCACACACAUCUUUCUCUCUUUCUCACUUUAUCUCUGCUCUCUUCAUCCUGUUUGCAGAUUAUAUAUAACAUAAAAUACAAGACUAGGUUACCUUAUCUUAGAUUAAAAUAGAUUUGGGGUUAGUAUUUAGGGUUAGGCCAGGCAAAGUUGUUUUAAACAACACACUUCUUCUAAACUGAGACAUAGCAACACUGUCCACACUGUCUAAGCUUCAAUGUGUUUAUUAUCGGCCUUCAGACCUUUAGAACGUCACUCCCAGGUGGACAGUUGUGGAGUUUGGAUGAUGUGCGUGCCAACUUUUGUACACGCUGCGGUACUGGUUACCGCCAUCGAGUGCUGCCAUGGCCAAUUUCGCCCUUCACUGGGCACAGCCACAAAUUGGUCAUGCCACCUGAGUCUCCUGACAAGAAGUUUGUUCUGAUUGUCGGAGACUCCCAUCUACGAGCCAUUGUAGAUGGAUUUGGUCCAGAUGCCAGAGGAGCCCUGUUCCUUUGGCCACAUGUCGACCCCGUUCCUUGGAUCCCUGAUGCCGUUUGUCUUCUGGCGCCAAGGAACAACUUGACGGCCAGCAGGACCAUCGAGGAGCCCGCUUGUUGACUACACUAAGCUCCUCAUUGGCAUUUGUAGCUGCUGGCCCAACGUCUUUGUUGUUGACUUCCCUCCCCGCCUGACCUGUGAGGUGUUUUACCAGGACCUCCUUCGUCAGCAGUACCACCGCAUUCCAGCGCGUAUGGGUAUGUAAAAAAAAAAAAAAAAAAAGGUUUUAAAAUGUUAUAUCUUCUUUGCAAGCAGUUUGAAUAAAAAUUGACUGAAAAUAUAUAUUGAGUUAUACUAAUGAAUAAUAAUAAUAAUAAUUUUAUUUUGUAGGUGUGAAGUACUUCUCAGCUGUGGAGUACUUUCACCAUAGCCAGCUGCAGCUGUGGAGCAGGCAUGGUGUAAAUAGGAUAUCCUUGUGUGGGAAAAAAUGUCUGGCAGCAAGCUGCUUUUUGUGUAUAAAACUUGGUCUGUAAAUGAAUUUGGUUCUGUCAUUUGUGCAGGUCCAUCUGAGCACCCCGGGUCUCUCCCAGGCCUUCACCACCAGUCAGGAAAUUCUCUCCUAAGCUGGUUGUGAAGGAAGAGGUCCCUUCUCCACGGUCACCUGACCCUUUCAGUGGCAGCCAGCUAGUCAUGGCCACAAUGUAAUUGUUACGGUGUAAUACAAGCCAGCCUGGUGAACCGUCCCAUGCCCAGGGUUCAGCCCAGACCAGGAUGGCUCAGC